CGCCCGAAGUCAUUACCUCAACCGCAAGGAGGGGGAUGCCUAAGGCAGGGCUAGUGACUGGGGUGAAGUCGUAACAAGGUAGCCGUACCGGAAGGUGUGGCUGGAUCACCUCCUUA
rnacentral:rRNA from 1 species